rnacentral:lncRNA from 1 species
GCAGAUCUUUCCAUGGAGUAAAGAAGGGGAUGCAAAUGUGGAUAUUUUCGUCUGAGAUCAAUAUUUCUCCUCCAGCUAUGGAGGAAGAGAACACCCAGUCUCUAUAGGAUGCUGUGUUGGGGAUCAUUGGAUUACAUAGCAGUUUAAGUCAUCUGAGGGGCUAAGUCUCAUUCUGCUAACAGAUGAAGAAAGCAUAGACAAUUAUCUGGAGAAGAACAAGUUUUGUCAACUGGGACAGUGCAAAACUGGUCCUAGGCUGCAAUCUGGACGGAACUGGAAGAGAUGAGGUAUGAAAGAUGUCACCUGCUGCCUUUUGAAUCCUGCAUUGUUUCCCAUAAAACCCACACUGAAGUGUUUGAGCACCCACCCCACAACGAGAUGGUGACACCUCUUGCAUGUACUACAUAAGCAGCUAAACAACUUUAACAGUUCAAAAAGCAGG